GGCAGUGGUAGCUCAGUGGUUCAGCUUUUGGGCUACUAAUCAGAAGGUUCAUGAGUUCAAACCCCAGCAUUGCCA